rnacentral:rRNA from 1 species
GUCUAGUAUAGCAAUCUAUACGGUGAAACUGCGAAUGGCUCAUUAAAUCAGUCAUAAUUUAUUUGAUAGUACCAUUCUACUUGGAUAACCGUGGUAAUUCUAGAGCUAAUACAUGCUAAAAACCCCGACUUCGGAAGGGGUGUAUUUAUUAGAUAAAAAACCAAUGCCCUUCGGGGCUCCUUGGUGAUUCAUGAUAACUUAACGAAUCGCAUGGCCUUGUGCCGGCGAUGGUUCAUUCAAAUUUCUGCCCUAUCAACUUUCGAUGGUAGGAUAGUGGCCUACCAUGGUUUCAACGGGUAACGGGGAAUUAGGGUUCUAUUCCGGAGAGGGAGCCUGAGAAACGGCUACCACAUCCAAGGAAGGCAGCAGGCGCGCAAAUUACCCAAUCCCGACACGGGGAGGUAGUGACAAUAAAUACUGAUGCAGAGCUCUUUUGGGUUUUGCAAUUGGAAUGAGUACAAUUUAAAUCCCUUAACGAGGAACAAUUGGAGGGCAAGUCUGGUGCCAGCAGCCGCGGUAAUUCCAGCUCCAAUAGCGUAUAUUAAAGUUGUUGCAGUUAAAAAGCUCGUAGUUGAACCUUGGGCCUGGCUGGCCGGUCCGCCUCACCGCGUGCACUGGUCCGGCCGGGCCUUUCCUUCUGGGGAGCCGCAUGCCCUUCACUGGGUGUGUCGGGGAACCAGGACUUUUACUUUGAAAAAAUUAGAGUGUUCAAAGCAGGCCUAUGCUCGAAUACAUUAGCAUGGAAUAAUAGAAUAGGACGUGUGGUUCUAUUUUGUUGGUUUCUAGGACCGCCGUAAUGAUUAAUAGGGAUAGUCGGGGGCAUCAGUAUUCAAUUGUCAGAGGUGAAAUUCUUGGAUUUAUUGAAGACUAACUACUGCGAAAGCAUUUGCCAAGGAUGUUUUCAUUAAUCAGUGAACGAAAGUUAGGGGAUCGAAGACGAUCAGAUACCGUCGUAGUCUUAACCAUAAACUAUGCCGACUAGGGAU